AAAAAACAUCGCCUCCUGAAGUUAUAGGAGGUCGCGCCUGCUCAAUGCCCUGCGGGGUGAAUAGCCGCGGUACCCUGACCGUGCUAAGGUAGCGUAAUCAUUAGCCUAUUAAUUGUUGGCCUGUAUGAAUGGCUGGACGCUGGUGAGACUGUCUCUAUUGUGUUUUAUUGAAAUUAACCUCUUGGUGAAAAGGCCAAGAUUUUCCUGAAAGACGAUUAGACCCUGUCGAACUUUAGGCAGAUUUUUAAUGACUGUUAGUUUAAUUAAAAGUAAACCUUUGGUUGGGGAAACCGGGGACCACAUAAAACGUCCGCCCUCAGUGCUGUUUAAGCUUAAGAGAUAGCCUGAAGUAUUUAACGCUAAAAAAGCCCUACAGGGUGCUUCUGGCUUGCAUGAUCCAGUUAAUGUUUUCUGAUCAAGGGAAAAGUUACCGCAGGGAUAACAGCGUAAUCCCCCCGGAGAGACCACAUUAAGGGGGGGGUUUGCGACCUCGAUGUUGGCUUAAGGCACCCUGGAAGUGCAGGAGUUCCGCAG
rnacentral:rRNA from 1 species